rnacentral:rRNA from 1 species
CCUUCGGGUCUAGUGGCGCACGGGUGCGUAACGCGUGGGAACCUGCCCUUAGGUUCGGAAUAACUCCUCGAAAGGGGUGCUAAUACCGGAUGAUGUCUUCGGACCAAAGAUUUAUCGCCUAUGGAUGGGCCCGCGUUGGAUUAGCUAGUUGGUGAGGUAAAGGCUCACCAAGGCGACGAUCCAUAGCUGGUCUUAGAGGAUGAUCAGCCACACUGGGACUGAGACACGGCCCAGACUCCUACGGGAGGCAGCAGUGGGGAAUAUUGGACAAUGGGCGAAAGCCUGAUCCAGCAAUGCCGCGUGAGUGAUGAAGGCCUUAGGGUUGUAAAGCUCUUUUACCCGGGAUGAUAAUGACAGUACCGGGAGAAUAAGCCCCGGCUAACUCCGUGCCAGCAGCCGCGGUAAUGCGGAGGGGGCUAGCGUUGUUCGGAAAUACUGGGCGUAAAGCGAACGUAGGCGGCUUG